GAACAAAAAGAGGAAAAACCCCAACAGGGAAGGCUGACUGGUUUUGGAGGAAGGAGCCUGUAGGAUGCUACUCUGAAAGACCACAAGGAAGACAACACCAGCCAGCCGGAGCAGAUACCCAAGCACCUUCAGAGGGUCUGGUGGCUUGUGUCAUGCUGAGUGAAAUGGAAAAUUGCUGCUGAUGCUGCCAAGCUAGAGGUCUGUGAUUCUGUCUGGAGGCUCAAGCCAAGAAUACUGAGUGUUUAAGGAGAAGGGUGACAGGUCACAAACAGCUUCUGCUGUCAGCGAAAUGCCACCCCCAAGCAGGCCAGCUAUGUCCGAGGGAUGUUAGUCCUGGUUCUCAUGUCACCCUUGUGGACUUCUUAAUGGGAGUUUAAUUAAUACCCCAGGUUCCCCUUGUGAGGAGCUGUGCUGCAGUGGGAUGAGUGCUGCUGAUUCGUGUUCUUUUAGUGCAUCAUAACCACAUUCUCUUUCUUCCCGGAGGAGCUACUUGUGGCAGUCAACAAGGUACAGCAAAGUGGCAUCUUUGGGGAAGGGUAAAGGGUCAUGAGACCCAGCUGGUGGUUGCUCAAGUUCUGAAGCCUUCCUGGGAAAAGGAAUGUCAGGGAUGGAGGAUGUGGCUCCUUUUGGAUAGGUGGGACUCCCACCUGCCUGUACAUAGCCAUGGGGGUGUUGGGGGGGGAGGGUGCAGACAGUUGGAAGUAUAUAUUUAAAACAUUACUUGGUACAUGGGAGAAGAGACUGACCCUCACCUCACCAGCACUUCCUCUGGGGAGUUGUAGAGAGCAAGAGGUCUCCCCUCAGCCUCCUUUUCUUCAGGCUGAACAGCUGCUGCUCACCAGAGCUGAUCUCCAGACCCUUCACCAGCUUCAUUGCCCUUCUCUGGGUACACUCCAGCACCUCAGAGUCCUUCUUGUAGUGAAGGUCCUGAGGGAACACAUCCUUUGGAAGGAUCUCUCAUCUUCUGGCCUCCAAGUACUUUAACUACACUAAGAUGGCAUGAAGUUCCUGCAGGUGACUGGCCUGUUUGCAGCUUGGUUUUUAGAGCAAUCUGUUUUCAGAACAAAUGGUGCUCAGAAGGAGCCUUUUCCCACGGUGAAAGAAAGGAUAAAUUAAGAGAAAAGAACUCCAUUUUGGUCCUUGUGCUGCUGCUGUGUUUACAGAAGCCUGAGGCAAAAGCGUGGCCUUCAGCUUUCCCCUGUGGCUCCAGCAGCUUUGACAAUGCCCAUUCCUCUCUGUCAGAACUUUCAUAGCCUGCUUUGAAAGUGCAAGAACUUCAUCUGCUGCCCAUGAAGCCACCAAGGGGACCUUUAUUUCAGGCAGUUAGAAGCCUGCAUUUCUACUGAGAUCCCAAAUACGUGCAUGACCUUCCAUGGGGCGAGCUGCUUGGAGCUUUCAAGCACUGCUGCUACCCAGUUCACCUCUUUCCAGAUCAUUAGAAAGCAUCCACCAAUCUGCUAACUACAUUCCACGAAGGUAUGAAUGAGAGCACAGCCUUACCUGCCUUGAACCCCAUUUCCUUUGCAGCAGCUCUCUGGGAGAUGGCACAUGCCAGGAGUCUGCAAAAUUUCAGGGUUGUUAAACUUCCUGAGCUGAGCAGGAGCUGCAUCUUGCAGGGUCUGUUGUGGCUUAAGAUGAGAACUGCUUUGCUGGCACGUUUCACAGCCAUGUACACGCAUGGGGCUUGUGCUUCCUACCAGGCACUGCUAUUCAUUUACAUCAGAAAACAAUUUUGCUUCACAAAUACACUAUAGGAGAAAGUCAUUGCUCAAAGUCACUGCGCCCUGAGUAGUCAUAUUAAGAAUUGCCUAAUAGUGAGCUCUCCAGAAAACAGGGAAUUUGGUCUGAGUAUUAUUAUCUUCUUGAUGCAAGUGGCUAAUGAAAGAGUUGUGUGUUUUGAUUAAGUGUGAAAGCUGAUGA